AAAUUGAAGAGUUUGAUCAUGGCUCAGAUUGAACGCUGGCGGCAGGCCUAACACAUGCAAGUCGAACGGUAACAGGAAGCAGCUUGCUGCUUCGCUGACGAGUGGCGGACGGGUGAGUAAUGUCUGGGAAACUGCCUGAUGGAGGGGGAUAACUACUGGAAACGGUAGCUAAUACCGCAUAAUGUCGCAAGACCAAAGAGGGGGACCUUCGGGCCUCUUGCCAUCGGAUGUGCCCAGAUGGGAUUAGCUUGUUGGUGGGGUAACGGCUCACCAAGGCGACGAUCCCUAGCUGGUCUGAGA
rnacentral:rRNA from 2 species